rnacentral:rRNA from 1 species
GACGUAGGGCGCGAGCGUUGUCCGGAUUUAUUGGGCGUAAAGAGCUCGUAGGCGGCUUGUCGCGUCGUUCGUGAAAACCUGCAGCUCAACUGCAGGCUUGCGGUCGAUACGGGCAGGCUAGAGUUCGGUAGGGGAGACUGGAAUUCCUGGUGUAGCGGUGAAAUGCGCAGAUAUCAGGAGGAACACCGGUGGCGAAGGCAGCUUGCUGGGACGUUACUGACGCUAAGGCGCGAAAGCGUGGGGAGCGAACAGG